rnacentral:rRNA from 1 species
AUUGAACGCUGGAGGCAGGCCUAACACAUGCAAGUCGAACGAGUGGCGGACGGGUGAGUAAUGUCUGGGAAACUGCCCGAUGGAGGGGGAUAACUAAUGGAAACGGUAGCUAAUACCGCAUACCAUCGGCAGUGCCCAGAUGGGAUUAGCUAGUAGGUGGGGAAAAGGCUCACCUAGGCGACAAUCCCUUGCUGGUCUGAGAGGAUGACCAGCCACACUGGAACUUAGACACGGUCCAGAGUCCUACGAGAGGCAGCAGGGGGGAAUAUUGCACAAUGGGCGAAAGCCUGAUGCAGCCAAGCCGCGUGUAUGAAGAAGGCCUUCGGGGUAUAAAGUACUUUCAGCGGGGAGGCGUUACCCGCAGAAGAAGCACCGGCUAACUCCGUGCCAGCCGCCGCGGUAAUAG